GCGAUCAUACCAACACUAAUGCACAGAAUCCCAUCAGAGCUUCGAAGUUAAGCGUGCUUGGGCGAGAGCACUAUUAGGAUGGGUGACCCCCUGGGAAGUCCUCUUGUUGCACCU
rnacentral:rRNA from 1 species